rnacentral:rRNA from 1 species
UACGGGGGGUGCAAGCGUUGUCCGGAAUGAUUGGGCGUAAAGCAUCUGUAGGUGGUUUUUAAAGUCGACUGUUAAAGCCCAGGGCUUAACUUUGGAAAAGCGGUCGAGCACUUAAGGACUUGAGUUUGGUAGGGGUAGAGGGAAUUCCUAGUGGAGCGGUGAAAUGCACAGAGAUUAGGAAGAACACCGAUGGCGAAAGCACUCUACUGGGCCAUAACUGACACUGAGAGAUGAAAGUCGGGGGAGCGAAAAGG